GGGCCCGCACAAGCGGUGGAGUAUGUGGUUUAAUUCGAUGCAACGCGAAGAACCUUACCAGGGUUUGACAUCCUGCGAAUCUCUUGGAAACGAGAGAGUGCCUUCGGGAACGCAGUGACAGGUGGUGCAUGGCUGUCGUCAGCUCGUGUCGUGAGAUGUUGGGUUAAGUCCCGCAACGAGCGCAACCCUUGUUUUUAGUUGCUUUUAUAGAACUCUAGAAAGACUGCCGGUUAUAAACCGGAGGAAGGCGGGGAUGACGUCAAGUCAGCAUGCCCCUUACACCCUGGGCUACACACGUGCUACAAUGGUUGGUACAGAGGGCAGCUACCCCGCGAGGGGAUGCGAAUCUCUAAAGCCAAUCUCAGUUCGGAUUGGAGUCUGCAACUCGACAACAUGAAGUCGGAAUCGCUAGUAAUCGC
rnacentral:rRNA from 1 species